UACAAAAAUUGCUGGGCUUAAUGCUGAUUGGAAUAGAGUUCACUAACAGUUGGAAAAGAAGAAAAUGCAAGUAUCUUUGGUAUUUUAAAAUAACAGAAGUAAAAAGGAAACAGGGACUGAGUUUUUGAGAAUCCUGUACUGUUGAUGAUGUCACUUUUUCAGAAGUAAUCUCUAAGUUUCAGUACACAGGCUGUAGGUAUUUGCAGAGGGUGUGUGUUCUAAGAUUCCCUUAAGCAGGGAACUCCCUAGGCUGUUGAAUGGGUCAGGGUGGGGGUUGACAGUGGGGAGUGGAAGGGGGAGGCUUGACUCAUGUCCACCCUCCUCAUCCCUCUGCCUUUCCACAAGUGGGAGCUGCCUGUAGAAACAGAGCAUUGCUUAAGAAGCUCAAGUUUUAUUUCACCUGUUGGGUGUAUUUGUCUGUUUAUACUCUGCCUCAUUCCACUUUCUUCUAGAAAGGAUUUAAGGCAGCCAGGACCCUUCAGUGUCAAAAAUCCCAGAUCCUAGAAGAAGCAAUGCCUAGGGGCUGUGUUUGAGGGGAGUACGCAGAGUGAGGUGUCACUGAUGAUUUCAAAGAGGUGACCCUGGAGCUGAACUGUUUUUCAACGAAGGGAACAUUCUUUUCUUGCCUUUAUCUCUCUGUCCCCUGUCACCCCGAUCUCUGCUCCCACUCCCAACUCCUCAAAGGGCAAAUUGUGUUGCCUUGGGUCUCAUGGAGGAGAGAAGGCAGGGACAGAGAAGAGUCUGCCCGAAGCAAAUGCCAAUCCUUGCAGAGUGCCGAGCGAGCUGGGAGCAGCGGUGAGCUGGGUUGAGGGGCAGCCAUAGGAACAAGCGCAGGGAGAAGGCUGAGUAAUGGACGGGAGGCACAGUGGGUGACAGGGCUGAGAGCACAAUUUAUGAGUCACCCCGAGCAGCUGCUCUUUGCCCCAGGGGAGCAACUCACACAUUCCCAAGGGAGCCAGUGCCUGGGAGACGUGACGUCGUUGUCACUGGGAGAGGAGUUUCAACCAUGUGUGGCUUCGGAGGAGCUUGUUCCCAUGGGUAACACCCAAGAUUCUCAGGAUGCAAAAUCCCAGCCAAAAGGAGAUGGGGCUCUAAGACUUCUUGUGCAUGCUUGUAUGUAUGUAUGUAUGUGUGUGCAGGUGUGCAUAUGUGUGUGUGUGCAUGUGUGUGAAAGAAUGUGUCUCCUCCAUGCUGAGACCUCAUUAUUAACUGCUGAUCUGUGCAUCCAGGGUGGUAAGAACUUUCAUCGUUCAUGGAGGAGGUGGUGGCUCUGUGACUAAUAGCCCGCCAGUCCGUAGCCAUCCCAACAUUUUUCUCAAGGAUGCUCCCUCCACAAAAUCCUGCUCCAAACCCAUGAUUUGCAUGAAACAUUCCCUGUUCAACCACGACGGCUCCUCAUCUGGCAUGUACAUUUGGAUCAUGGUUAGAGGGGGCUGGCCACCUCUGAUUGAAUUCAGAAAGCCAGCCCGGUGCCGCCCACUGACUCUCUCCCAGGCAUCAGCCUUAAAGUUCUGGCAGCUAUUCCCAGCUAAAUGGGUGCAUCAGGCCUUCUUACUGCAUAGAUAGUUAAUAGGGGAAGGAAGAGAGCUCACUCACAGCCUCUCACUGCUGCAGUUUGUUUUAUAAACCUGAUAGGCACACAGCAAACCCAAUGACCAGAUACAAUGGAAGCAGCCUUUCCUUUUGCACUGUCACCAGCCGUGGCUUUAUAAAACCGUUGUUUUUCCUUACCUGGGAAGCCCUUGGGCUGUCCCUUACUUCCUUGAUAAGCCAGGCAAGGACAUGACAACCUUUAAAAUAUUGUAUCUCUGUGGAUAACUGAGCCCAAGAAGAGGAAGGAUCUAGUGUAUGCCUCCUUAACAAUGAAAUGAAAAACACAGGGAGCCAAAACCAAGUUUAAAUGAGGGUCAGUGGAUAACGCAUGAACUGGGAACACAAUUUGGUUGGGGAAGCUUGUCUAUCCGUGGUGUUUUCUGGAUAGCUGUUUUCCAGCACACACAAGUAUACAACACUUAUUUAAAACAGGCCAAGUGCGGUGGCUUACACCUAUAACCCCAGCGCUUCGGGAGGCCGAGGCGGGAGGAUCACUUGAGCCCAGAAGUUCAAGACCAGCCUGGGCAAUGUAGUGAGACCUCAUCUCUACAACAAAUUUGAAAAUUAGCUGGAUGUGGUGGCACACACCUGUGGUCCCAGGCACUUGGGAGGCUGAGGCAGGAGGAUUGCUUGAGCCCUGAAGGUCAAGGCUGCAGUGAGCCAUGACUGUGCCACUGCACUCCAGCCUGGGAAACAGAGGAAAACCCUGUCUCAAAGAAAUAAUAAAAGAAAAGAAAUAAAACAGACUUCCCCAAGAAUAGUAAACCACAGUUACAAGUUCAUAUUUGUAAGUUUAUUGUUUUAUUGAAUCUAUUUUUUGGGGUGGAUACUUGUUGAUAGUCCCUGUGGGUACCUGGGAUGUUCCUCCUAGCAUAGACGGCAAAAAUUUCCAGUGAAUUCCUCAUUUCCUCCUGUUUCUUUGUGAAUGCCCGUAGCUUUAAGGGCCUCUCACCUCCUCAGAGGCAGAGGAGGUUUGUGGACUGGGUGCUAAGCUAAUACCCAGGAACUGAAUUUUGUUUUGUUUGCUCCACCCACUCUUGGGUAGAGGUGCCGAUAGGAUGGCCACACUGUGGCCACAGCAAACAGAAAUGACCAGCACUACCCAGAUAGGAAGCACACGUGCCCAGCUGAUCCUUCGGUCCUGGGGAGCUACCUGAAUCUCAUGGGAAACCCACUUUCCUUUUUCCCCACCACAGACUUGGCUUUCUGCUUCCUUUCUGCUCUGCUCUUUCUGAAAAUGCAAAUGUGUGUUGGGCAGAUCUCCUAUGCAGGGAGAUUGGCAGAGCCCCUAGGGACACUUGACUGACCAAGGCUUCUUCGUGGAGAGCUGUUUUCUGGUUUAUUCUGUCUUGUGAUCGAUAGGAAACACUGGCCAGGCUUCUUAUUUUCCAAGGCUGCUGCUUUCUGACAGGCUUUAAGGGAUUAAGGGUUGAAUACAGGUGGGUUUCUUCCCCCUCCUGACUCUGUCACCUGGACAUUGCCAUGGCAAUAAUCCUCCCUGAAACAAAAAUAAAGGGCAGAACCGGUUGGACAGAAAGUGUAGCCGAAAAGUCUUCCAGGGACACUGAGAGUUGAGGGACUUUGAGGCCGCAUGGGGCUCCAUAGAGCAGCAAUCCCCAACCUUUUUGGCACCAGGGACUGGUUUUCUGGAAGAUAAUUUUUCCGUGGAUGUGGUGGGGUGGGGUGGGGUGGGGGUAGUUUCUGGAUGAUUCAAGCACAUUACACUUAUUGUGUACUUUAUUUCUAUUAUUAUUACAUUGUAAUAUGAAAUAAUUAUACAAUUCACCAUAACAUAGAAUCUGUGGGAGCCCUGAGCUUGUUUUCCUACAACUAGACAGUCCCAUCUGGGGGCGAUGGGAGACAGUGACAGAUCAUCAGGCAUUAGAUUCUCAUAAGGAAUGCACAACCUACAUUCCUCACAUGUGCAGUUCACAAUAGGGUUCUCGCUCCUAUAAGAAUUUGAUGCCAUCACUGAUCUUACAGGAGGUGGAGCUCAGGUGGUAAUGUGAGCAAUGGGGAGCGGCUGUCAAUACAAAUGACACUUUGCUCACUCACCCACCACUCACCUCCUGCUGUGCAGCCUGGUUCUUAACAGGCCAUGGAGCAGUAAUGCGUCCAUGGCCUGGGGGUUAGGAACCCCUGCUAUAGAUCAUGUCCACAAGAGCAAGGAGGU
ensembl:lncRNA LINC00511 long intergenic non-protein coding RNA 511